CGAUUAGGUAGUUGGAAGGGUAGAAGCCUCCCAAGCCGAAGAUCGAUAGUCAAGUUUGAUAGAACAGAUGACCACAUUGGGAUUGAAAUCUCCCAAGUAGCGUAAAGCUACCAGCAGUCGAGAAUAUUAGUCAAUGCUCGCAAGAGUGAACUAGCUAACUGGAAUCAACGGUGUGUCAUCGUUGAUAAAGUAAGUGAAAAUAAAUGAUAUUAACUUACUAUUAGUGUCGUCCAAAUACUCGUGCCAGAAGACUCGGUAAGGCGAGAGACGCAAACGUUAGUCGUCUUAAUCAGGCGUAAAGGGUUUGUAGGCGGCUUUAAGUAUUUAAUUCUUUUUUAAGGGUAAAUCAAUUAAAGCUAGAAUCAAGAAGAGGUUAAUUAAAUAAUGCUUGGUGUAGGGUUGAUAUCUUCAGAAACUAAGUAGAAUAAUAACGGCGAAGGCUUUUUUCCAAUAAUGAUUGACGCUGAGAAACUAAGGUGAGGAUAGAAAAAAGGAUUAGAGACCCUCGUAUCCCUCACUGUCAACGAUGAAUGGUAGUUACUAGAAUAUUCUAGAGACGAUGUUAACACGAAAACCAUUCCGCCUUGUGAGUACGACUGCAAAGUUGAAAACAAAAAAAUUAGUCGGUUUCGGAGCAAACGAAGUGAAGCAUGUUGUUUAAUACGAUAGUCCGCGUAAAAUCUUACCAGUCCUUGCAUAAAACUUUCUUUUUAGUUAAUAGAAAGUAAAGGUUGUAUUCUAAUUCUUUAUAUAAAAAAGAAUAUACUAGAAUCUUCAUACA
rnacentral:rRNA from 1 species